rnacentral:rRNA from 1 species
GACGGAGGGUGCAAGCGUUGUUCGGAAUUACUGGGCGUAAAGGGCGCGUAGGCGGUCUGUUAAGUUCGGUGUGAAAGCCCUCGGCUCACCUGGGGAACUGCGCCGGAAACCGACAGACUCGAGUACCGGAGAGGAGGGUGGAAUUCCUGGUGUAGCGGUGAAAUGCGUAGAUAUCAGGAGGAACACCGGUGGCGAAGGCGGCUCUCUGGACGGUGACUGACGCUGAGACGCGAAAGCGUGGGGAGCAAACAGG